rnacentral:tRNA from 7 species
CGGAGAGUGGCGCAGUUGGUAGCGCGCGCGGUUUGGGACCGCGAGGUCCCGGGUUCGAAUCCCGGCUCUCCGACAA